rnacentral:rRNA from 1 species
CUAAGACAUGCGAGUCGAGCGUCUCUAGCUAUGUUGAGACGCGGCAGACGGCUCAGUAACACGUGGCUAACCUACCCUCAGGACAAGUACAAACCCGGGAAACUGGGGCUAAUACUCGAUAGGCGAAGGCGCCUGGAAUGGUUCUUCACCCAAAGGGCUUUAGAAACAUGCUUCUAGAGUCGCCUGGGGAUGGGGCCGCGUCCGAUCAGGUUGUUGGUGAGGUAACGGCUCACCAAGCCUAUAACCGGUACGGGCCGUGAGAGCGGUAGCCCGGAGAUGGGUACUGAGACAAGGACCCAGGCCCUACGGGGCGCAGCAGUCGCGAAAACUCCGCAAUGCACGAAAGUGUGACGGGGCUACCCCGAGUGCCGUCCGCUGAGGAUGGCUUUUCCUUGGUGUAACUAGCCGGGGGAAUAAGGAGANGGGCAGACUGGUGUCAGCCGCCGCGGUAA